rnacentral:rRNA from 1 species
AGAGCGCACGCCUGAUAAGCGUGAGGUCGGUGGUUCGAGUCCAUUCAGGCCCMCCAUCUUYUAUUAAAUCGGGGCCUUAGCUCAGMSGGGAGAGCGCCUGCCUUGCACGCAGGAGGUCAGCGGUUCGAUCCCGYUAGGCUCCACCAAMKUGUUCUUUGAAAACUAGAUAACAAUAAGUAAUACAUUCACAUUGAAUGCAAUGCAAAGUUCAUCACACAUAGUGAUUCUUUCUAAAGUAAGAAAUGGUUAAGUUAGAAAGGGCGCACGGUGGAUGCCUUGGCACUAGGAGCCGAUGAAGGACGGGACGAACACCGAUAUGCUUCGGGGAGCUGUAAGCAAGCUUUGAUCCGGAGAUUUCCGAAUGG